AAAUUGAAGAGUUUGAUCAUGGCUCAGAUUGAACGCUGGCGGCAGGCCUAACACAUGCAAGUCGAACGGUAACAGAAAGCAGCUUGCUGCUUUGCUGACGAGUGGCGGACGGGUGAGUAAUGUCUGGGAAACUGCCCGAUGGAGGGGGAUAACUACUGGAAACGGUAGCUAAUACCGCAUAACGUCGCAAGACCAAAGAGGGGGACCUUCGGGCCUCUUGCCAUCGGAUGUGCCCAGAUGGGAUUAGCU
rnacentral:rRNA from 1 species